rnacentral:misc_RNA from 1 species
GAUGAAGAACGUAGCGAAAUGCGAUAAGUAGUGUGAAUUGCAGAAUUCAGUGAAUCAUCGAAUCUUUGAACGCACAUUGCGCCCCUUGGUAUUCCAUGGGGCAUGCCUGUUCGAGCGUCAUUUGUACCUUCAAGCUUUGCUUGGUGUUGGGUGUUUGUCUCGCCUUUGCGUGUAGACUCGCCUUAAAAUAAUUGGCAGCCGGCGUAUUGAUUUCGGAGCGCAGUACAUCUCGCGCUUUGCACUCAUAACGACAGCGUCCACAAGUACAUUUUACACUCUUGACCUCGGAUCAGGUAGGGAUACCCGCUGAACUUAAGCAUAUCAAUAAGCGGAGGA